UCACGUGUCGAUGAUUCCGGCUUUCAACUAUGGAGACUUGAAACAGUACACUGAAAUAAAUCCAUAAAGCUAAUCUAUCAGAAAAAUCUAAUAAGGUCAAUUGUUCGCUCGACAUAUUCGUUUCAAAUUUCAUCCAAUGCAUUUCAUAUGCAAAACAGUUAGGAUGCAACUAUCGCUUUAUAAUCAUUACAAACCUACGUUCUGGUUGACGUUAUAUGCGCGUCUGAUAUGCAGCACAUGUCGAGUUAUGAGCAUAGCAUAUAACUUACACUGGCUUCUUAAAAUUGUACAUCCUAUAUGGAUGAUUGUCGUGUAGGUAGUAUCGUGUUUGCAUUUCAGGCAAUGUUGCGAAAAAGAACAGUCACAUCAACGCUCAGCUCAUGUUUUAAAUUGGAUUUCUUGAUUAGAUCCAUCAAUCUGGAGUCAACAAACUACUGAAAGGAACGCAGUGAAGCAUCAAUCCGCGAAUAUAUCUUGGCAACUAUUUCAUGUUUUUUAUCUUGGCAAGUUAUCUAAAAAUAACUAACUAAACUAACCCUUAAUUAUUGAAAAAUCUUUCCUUUUAUAGAACAUCAAUUCGACAACAAAUUAUUAUAACAGACAGGACGCCAAAAGCCAUUGGAAAAAUGUCCAUCCUGCAAAAUUCCAAGCUUCCAUAAUAAUUUGAAGAUUCAAUUCAAUCAAAAAGAGGGCCUUUACUAAUUUUGUUUAUAUAUUUAUAAUGGAAUAAGUAAAUAAAAGUUUGGUAAACUUUUAACUUUUAAA